rnacentral:rRNA from 1 species
GUUCAACGGCCGCGGUACCCUAACCGUGCGAAGGUAGCAUAAUCACUUGUUCUUUAAAUAGGGACUCGUAUCAACGGCAUCACGAGGGCUAUACUGUCUCCUUUCUCCAAUCAGUGAAACUGAUCUUCCCGUGAAGAAGCGGGAAUUAUCAUAUAAGACGAGAAGACCCCAUGGAGCUUUAAACUCAAUAUAUAUUUCUACGCAUUUAUAUCACUAUAGCCCAAGAAAAUUAUAUGUUGGUUUUGGGUUGGGGGGACCGCGGAGAAAAAAUUAACCUCCACGACAAAUAGGCCAACGCCUUUAUCUACGAACCACAAUUCUAAGAAUCAAUAAACUGAUGUUUAAUGAUCCAAUUUUUUUGAUCAACGAACCAAGUUACCCUGGGGAUAACAGCGCAAUCUACUUCAAGAGCUCCUAUCGACAAGUGGGUUUACGACCUCGAUGUUGGAUCAGGGUAUCCUAGUGGUGCAGCCGCUACUAAAGGUUCGUUUGUUCAACGAUUAAAACCCUACGUGAUCUGAGUUCAGAACGGGA